rnacentral:rRNA from 1 species
UGAAAACUUAAAAUUUAAAAGACUUGACGGUACUUCACACCAACCUAGAGGAGCCUGUCCAACAACCGAUAAUCCACGAUUAACCCAACCCCCCCUAGCCCAACAGUCUAUAUACCGCCGUCGCCAGCUUACCUUGUGAAAGUAGUAAAGUAAGCAAAAUAGCACACACUAACACGACAGGUCGAGGUGUAACUAAUGGGGGGGACAAGAUGGGCUACAUUUUCUUAUCAGAACAAACGAACAUACCAUGAAACUGGGAACCGAAGGAGGAUUUAGCAGUAAGCUAAGAACAUAAUACUUAGCCGAAGUUUGCAAUGAAGUGCGU